AUCGGCAGAGGGACGGUUCAGUAACGGUGGUUUUUGAUUUAUUCGUCUUAAAUCAUUCAGAGGGACGGAUUCCUCUUUCCGUCGGUGUUUAUCCUCCAAUAAAAAGGUCAGACUUCAACUCCCAACAUCAAUCCUUUUCGCUGACUCCUCUCUGUCACUUGAGCUUCCUCCGACAACAGGUAUGUCAAAACCCGCUUCUCGCUUCUGGUCCUUUUUCUGCAACCACCGUGAAGAUUUCGAAGCCUCCUUUGGAUUCUGUAGAGGAGGUGCCCGCUAAAUAUUCAACGGAAAGCUCCGCGUCUGAUAAUGAAGGAGACAAGACUGAUUUGCCAACCAUCACGAAAAUAUUUUUUUCAGUAUGCGAAGUUGGUUAAUGGAACUUGGGAUCAGAAACAGAUCGAGAGAGAAGGCGAAACAUAUUGGGAUUCGGUAGUAGUUGCUGUAAUACUGUCUGAACAAAACGAUGUAGGACUAAAACUGGAUAACGUCAGUCAAGGCUAUGUUAUGAAGAAGCUUCUUGCAUUGCAAAGAUGAGUGACUGCUUGUGUAAUUUUUUGUUGAUGAAAAGUGGAGGCCGAGUUAUAUAUGCUGGAAGUCUACGACAUCACUCACAAAUCUCGACUACUUUGAGUUUGUUGCAGGGAUUCAAAAUAUCAAGGACGGAUACACUCCUGCAACGUGUAUUAGACCUGAGAGUUUCUUCCACUGUCAUUACCGGAAUAUCGAUUUCUACUUCAGGAGAACUCAGGAGCUAAUCAAAGAGCUCAGUACUCCACCACCAGAAUCGGAAGUUCUCUACUUCCAAACUACGUACUCCCAGCCAUUUUUGAUAAUUUUUGUAUGAAGUGUGUGUGAGUGAUUGUAAGGUUGUUUUCGCAGAGUACUUAGAUCGGAAAGGCUGUUAAUGGUUUGAGGAAACAUGGCUCUGAUAAGAUUCGCCAACUUGCAAAGACUUUGAUUGGAGAGUGGAAGGAGCUGGUUGAUCAGUGGGUGAACACCACCAAACAAAUCGCUGGUGCUCAAGGUACACCAGAGUCUGCUAAUCCCUCUGUAGUUGAUGAAGAAGAAGAACAUGAGUUUCCAUCCUUCCGUACGGUGUGAUAUUUUUACACCGGAAGCAAACACUUUUGAAAUGUUAAAUGGAAGUAAGAUACCCUCAGUACAAUGACAUCUGGUUUUUCAUGGCAAUAUUGGUUUGGGCGUUGUACAGUAUGGUCACAUCUCAAGUAGGAGACAGGGAUUUGAUAGUGCAGAUCGCUGGUGUCGGAGACAUGAGCCUUAAAAACGUUUGAAAGAUAGGUUCUGGUUCGAACAUGACUUCUUACCAUCUGUAGCUGACGUCCACAUAGGAUAGAUAGUGAUCUUUAUCUUUGCUUAUGAUAUCAAGUUUUUCAACGUACAUCCCUUUGUUUCUCCACCUUUGAAAUGAACUUCUUACAUUAAAAAUUACAUUCAAAACAUGCUUUUUGUGUGUAAUAAUGAAAUUUGUGGUCAGGUU